GGUGGCUCAGUGGUAGAGUACUUGCCUUGCAUGCAUGAGGCCCUGGGUUCAAUUCCUCAGCACCU
rnacentral:tRNA from 1 species